rnacentral:rRNA from 1 species
CUGGUGAAAGUGCGUAGGCGGUAUUUCUAGGCAAAUCCGGAGAUACAACGCUGAGACACGAGACGAACGCACUACGGUGCGGAAGCCAUUGAUGCCAUGCUUCCAGGAAAAGCCUCUAAGCUUCAGAUUACAAGUCAUCGUACCCCAAACCGACACAGGUGGUCGGGUAGAGAAUACCAAGGCGCUUGAGAGAACUCGGGUGAAGGAACUAGGCAAAAUAGAACCGUAACUUCGGGAGAAGGUUCGCUCUUGACAGUGAAGUCCCUCGCGGAUGGAGCAGUUGGGAGUCGCAGUGACCAGAUGGCUGGGACUGUUUAUCAAAAACACAGCACUCUGCAAACACGAAAGUGGACGUAUAGGGUGUGACGCCUGCCCGGUGCUGGAAGAUUAAAUGAUGGGGUGCAAGCUCUUGAUUGAAGUCCCAGUAAACGGCGGCCGUAACAAUAACGGUCCUAAGGUAGCGAAAUUCCUUGUCGGGUAAGUUCCGACCUGCACGAAUGGUGUAACCAUGGCCAUGCUGUCUCCACCCGAGACUCAGUGAAAUCGAAUUCGCCGUGAAGAUGCGGUGUACCCGCGGCUAGACGGAAAGACCCCGUGAACCUUUACUACAGCUUGGCACUGAACAUUGAACCUACAUGUGUAGGAUAGGUGGGAGGCUUUGAAGGCGUGACGCCAGUUGCGCUGGAGCCGUCCUUGAAAUACCACCCUUGUAUGUUUGAUGUUCUAACGCAGGGCCCUGAAUCGGGCUCGCGGACAGUGCCUGGUGGGUAGUUUGACUGGGGCGGUCUCCUCCCAAAGAGUAACGGAGGAGCACGAAGGUUGGCUAAUCCUGGUCGGACAUCAGGAGGUUAGUGCAAUGGCAUAAGCCAGCUUAACUGCGAGACGGACAGGUCGAGCAGGUACGAAAGUAGGUCAUAGUGAUCCGGUGGUUCUGAAUGGAAGGGCCAUCGCUCAACGGAUAAAAGGUACUCCGGGGAUAACAGGCUGAUACCGCCCAAGAGUUCAUAUCGACGGCGGUGUUUGGCACCUCGAUGUCGGCUCAUCACAUCCUGGGGCUGUAGCCGGUCCCAAGGGUAUGGCUGUUCGCCAUUUAAAGUGGUACGUGAGCUGGGUUCAGAACGUCGUGAGACAGUUCGGUCCCUAUCUGCCGUGGGUGUCGGAGAAUUGAGAGGAUUUGUCCCUAG